UAACACUACUACUCUAUUCUCUAGUAAACUCACCAAUUAGCAUCACUAAACCAACUACACCCAUAGCCGAUAUCUGGAAGAACUCCUCAAUGUGGAAAGACAAACCUACUGGAAUUAAGAUCCUUUGGAUUUGGACCAUUGGAACUGCUGCUGUUCUUCUUACUUGCGUUUCCAGAACCCGGGUUCGAGACAUGGAAAAACUCAUGGACCAAAAACAACAUCAUCAUCAACAACAACAACAAGGGUUAUCCUCCGUUGAUACUGUUCUUGUAGAUAGUUCUUUACCGUCUGAUGAUAAUGAUCAUUAGAGAAGAUCAAUCAUAAGAACAAAGGAUAGAAGAAUUGUCUCCUUUUUUUUUUAAUGUUUUGUUUUAUUAUUGAAUUUUAACAGGAAUUCUUGAAGAAUAUAUGAAGUUCAUUGAGAUGUUUCAUUGCUA